rnacentral:rRNA from 1 species
AAGUCAGAUGUGAAAGCCCCGGGCUUAACCUGGGAACUGCAUUUGAAACUGGUCAACUAGAGUAUGGUAGAGGAAAGUGGAAUUUCUGGUGUAGCGGUGAAAUGCGUAGAUAUCAGAAGGAACAUCAAUGGCGAAGGCAGCUUUCUGGACCAAUACUGACGCUGAGGUACGAAAGCGUGGGUAGCAAACAGGAUUAGAUACCCUGGUAGUCCACGCCGUAAACGAUGAUAACUAGCCGUUGGGGGGAUUUACCCUUUAGUGGCGAAGCUAACGCGUUAAGUUAUCCGCCUGGGGAGUACGGCCGCAAGGUUAAAACUCAAAUGAAUU